rnacentral:misc_RNA from 1 species
UUGGGCAGCUACCGCUUGGCGCACGUAAACGAUUUUGUGUUGUGUAGUAGUCGCUGCGUUGCACUCUGACGCGGCGGUUCGUGGCUUGCGCUCUCUCUCUAAGCGCCAGGAAAUUCAUCGCCUCAAUAUUCAACUGGGGCGCACGGCCUGGCUGUGAUCAUCCUCGGGCGAACACCCCCUAACCGGAAAGUUUGGUUGAGGUCGUGACGUCACGUCCAGUCGUCUGCUUGAGUGUAGGAAAAUUAUGUUGGAAUGGACCGAAUUUCAACGCUGUUGUAGGGAGAUCGAGGCCCUUUCGAUCAACUUAAAUGACGGCUGGCACUUCGUUGUUCAACAGGACGAGCCUGGAUGCAGUUAUUUGGAGAAACGGUCCGUUAUAAAGGCACAAAGUCGACAUCUGAAGGACGUACCAAGUGAUGACUACCAUGCUGCAGACUUCGGCUUGAAAGAAGAGCUGGACUGUGACAGUGUCAUUGAAGACAACCAAGAGGCAUUGAGAUGUGUCUACAACAUUGUCUACAGCGUCAGCUACAGUGUACCUGUUCUCUACUUCAACAUCUGGAAGCAGGAUGGAUCAUUGCUGCCUCUUCCAGAAGUGUGGUCCAUGGUCCCACAUAGCUUUCAAGGCCAGCUGAAAGAUGUCUGGUGGUCUACAAUAACACAACAGGAGCAUCCGAUCCUGGGAACACCUUUCUUCCAGCUACACCCCUGCAAGACAGCUCAAUUGAUGGAUCAGGUCCUACCCAGUCACAACAAGGAGCACGCCAACUACAUCGUCACUUGGUUGAGCAGCAUGGCACCCCUGGUCGGAUUGGACUUGCCAAACAGCUACUCGGCGCUGACGGCGGCGCGGCAGUGACGUGUCAGUCACGCUUGUUUCUACGGAUGCGGUGCGUGGACAGCAGAGACCAUGACGCUGCGCAGCAUGUGCCGGUUAAAUACACACUAGUUUUUGGCAAGUCUGCGGAGCAUCAGGACCCACAGGCACGCCCAAAGAGAAAACUGAAAUAAAUGGCUUCCAACACUCGGGUCUUCGAUUCACUAUAAUACAACUUUUAUUCUGCGGCAUUCUCCUGCGAAGAACUAGAGGCAGCACGACUCCAUGAGUACAAACCCUUAAAAAAGCGAUAGACUGCCCUGGUCGGUUGCAUGGGGGGCACGGAUUUCAAUGACAUGUCUCGUUUUUUUUCUCUGUGCAUCGCGUACGACCUCCACAAACACGUCAGCUGCUGUCACGCUCAAGAGGAAGCAACUACAGAGGCGCUGAUUGGUCCAGCCAACACGCCCAGAUGAAUGCAAGGGAGGGACACACAGUCGUAACCAAUCCGCCGGAUAGCCAACGCAACCAACUCCUGCUUUCGGCCGUCUGACAAUAAAUCGCUGCACACAAACAAAAAACACGGCAUUUUCAUUUUUUUUUUUUGCAACAUUUUAUAACAUUGUUUUAUUCUAAAGGGCGGCCGAGAAAGGUUUAUAAUCGUAAAACGUAUCCAGUUUAGAAACCUUUAUCCGACAUCAAUGAACCGAGAAAUUUUGUACAAGUGGAAUCUAGCUAGUAAUUUAGUUAAAAGUAGCAUGAAAACACCAUUAAGCCAAUAAAAGCUAUGCAUGCAUGUUUAUUACCCUCCCCUUGCCCACAAGAAAAACGUGGAAGAAAGAACAGCUUCAGAAAUACACACACGACUUGUAAACCCGCAUGCCGGUCUGACCAGCGGAAUAACAAAACUUGGGCUGAAUCUCGAGUUGUAAACACGACAAAACAAAAAAGAAGUUUCGAAAGGAAAAACUCUUCAGACCUAGGAAAUUCAAAACAAUGGAGACACCCAACAACGAAGAAAGAAGGUACUUGGGCAGUCUAUGAGGGACGGGUAUCGACUUUGAAACCGCAACGAGCAAACAAACGUUUCACGUGUUAAGAAAAGCGCGUUCGGAACGGAAAGAACACCGUGAGCAUUCUCAGCGUUGUCGCAAAUCUGUAUGUACAAAAGAAAAAAAAAAAAAAAAAAAAGUGGCGUAGUCUAGGUGAGCGAUGUAGAAGACUGUCCCGCAAAAGCAAGACAUCGGCAAAGGAAGCGUGCUGAACCAAUUCUCGUUGGCUGACGGCUCCUCCCAUAUUUGCAAAUGUGGUGCUUUUUCACGUAAUUGCAUGUACAGAGUUAUUGCCCAUAAUUGCAGUAAUUUCAAGUACCGAGUUAUUUCCUAUAAUCACGAGCAUGGCGUCAUUUACCACAGUCGCAAGUAAAAACUGAUCUUCCGUAACUGCAAGUUUGGUGUUGCCGUCAAACCUACGGUGUUCGAGACACGCUUUUAGAACGAAAUACCACACAGUUUAUUUUUGUUUUAUUAGUACCGGUAGUUUCCUGAACUGUAGGGAACGCCUCAUUCUCGUCGUGUGGCGACUCAUUCUGGCCAGUGGAUUUUCAUUUCGAAGUUUGAACUCGAAACGCAUAAAAGCGCGGCAUUUUCGUCCAAAGGUGUCGAACGAAACGCCAAAUGCAUGCCGGAGGACAAAACGGAUUCUGCGUCGCAAAACGUGUCUAUCCCAGUAGCAUUUUACAGCUGCUCGCAAGCCAUCAACGAAAACACUGCAGCUUUCUUCUUUCCAUAAAACCCACUACAGAAGCGUAGAAUAAAGGUAAGGUUGGUCACGGAGGUACACCGUCGCACCUCUGUUUCCGAAACCCAGUUUCAUUACUUUUUUUGUUUUCGUCGAAGAGAUAGGCGACGGGGAAGAAAUAAGGCGACACGAAGACCAAGCUCUUUUGGGCAACGAUACGCGCGCGAGUGAGUAUCGCAUUCAAAACAAACAAAAACACACAAAACGAAGUUGGGAAUGUGUUGCAAUCUUUGCUGCAGUGGAAACACUUUACAACCCUGAACUCCUCUCGCCAGUAGUCUUUUCUUACUUUCGAUGUCCCCCUCCCCUCUCGAACCGUGCUCGUGGUCGGGACGUCCGACGCGUAGAAAAGGCGGUACAAACUUCGUUUGGGGGAAGGGGGACGCUCCGGCUCCUCUUGACUAGCCGAGGCACGCGCGCUGCCGUGAAACGCGGCGGCCCCGGUCGCGCGUCGACUGCGGUCGUUUCUUUGCGUUUCGUUAAACUUUCCUGACUAGAAUGAGACACUAGCUGUAGCCUGGUCAAAGGCGGGCAUCACACCAAACCUAUUUUUGUUCUAUGCCCAGCUGAAACAUCUCGAAGCAGGGCGGAAAGUGCAAACACCUUGCGACAAGUUCGUUGCGGCGGCUCUGGAUGCGUCGUUCGAACUAUGCUUCCGACCUGUCGACGAAGCAGAGAGCAAAAACCUUCCGGCUUGGCGCCGCAAUAAAUAACCACGCUCCGACAAUCACCGCACCAAGGCCGCGCGCUCCCCUUGCAGAAAAAAAAAGAGCCCACGCGAUUUGUCGCAAACGGCAAAAAAAAAAAAAAUGUUCGUGCCCGGCUAUCCGUCCACCUUUUUAUAUGUAUGUACAAAACAACGAAACAAUUGGAUACCUCACACGCAGAACAAGCUGGAAAA